rnacentral:tmRNA from 1 species
AAUUUAUGAAGCUAGUUAAUUGUUAUCUUGUCAAUUAGAGAAUAGUUAGCGAAAAUAAAGAAUUGACUGUGCUCGGAGAAGUUUCUGUGGAUGGGUUUUCGGACGCGGGUUCGACUCCCGCCGCCUCCACCA